rnacentral:rRNA from 1 species
UACAGAGGGGGCAAGCGUUGUUCGGAAUUACUGGGCGUAAAGGGCGCGUAGGUGGCCCGCUAAGUCGAACGUGAAAUCCCCGAGCUCAACUCGGGAACUGCGUCCGAUACUGGUGGGCUUGAAUCCGGGAGAGGGAUGCGGAAUUCCAGGUGUAGCGGUGAAAUGCGUAGAUAUCUGGAGGAACACCGGUGGCGAAGGCGGCAUCCUGGACCAACACUGACACUGAGGAGCGAAAGCCAGGGGAGCAAACGGG